rnacentral:rRNA from 1 species
UGGUGCUUGCACUAGAGAAACUUAGCGGCGAACGGGUGAGUAACACGUAAAGAACCUGCCUCAUAGACGGGGACAACUAUUGGAAACGAUAGCUAAUACCGGAUAACAGCAUAAAUCGCAUGAUAUAUGUUUAAAAGUUGGUUUCGGCUAACACUAUGAGAUGGCUUUGCGGUGCAUUAGCUAGUUGGUGGGGUAAAGGCCUACCAAGGCGACGAUGCAUAGCCGACCUGAGAGGGUGAUCGGCCACACUGGGACUGAGACACGGCCCAGACUCCUACGGGAGGCAGCAGUAGGGAAUCUUCCGCAAUGGGCGAAAGCCUGACGGAGCAACGCCGCGUGAGUGAAGAAGGUUUUCGGAUCGUAAAGCUCUGUUGUAAGAGAAGAACGAGCGUGAGAGUGGAAAGUUCACACUGUGACGGUAACUUACCAGAAAGGGACGGCUAACUACGUGCCAGCAGCCGCGGUAAUACGUAGGUCCCGAGCGUUAUCCGGAUUUAUUGGGCGUAAAGCGAGCGCAGGCGGUUAGAUAAGUCUGAAGUUAAAGGCUGUGGCUUAACCAUAGUACGCUUUGGAAACUGUUUAACUUGAGUGCAGAAGGGGAGAGUGGAUUCCAUGUGUAGCGGUGAAAUGCGUAGAUAUAUGGAGGACACCGGUGGCG